rnacentral:other from 1 species
UACUGCCUGGAGUGUUUGUGACCCUCAGUUUUGAACCUUCAUGACAUAAACGGGAGCUCGAGUUAUCGUGGAUAGAGAUCAUAUCCCCGGAUGAAAGUCCGACAGGGAAAGAUCCAAGGCCUCAGCAGGGCACCCACCUGGUAAAUUGCCGGGUGUCAAAAUGAGGGAACGGCAUUUCGGGUUUUUU